UGACAUUGAAAAUAUUAAUUGAUCCACAUAAAUACCAAAAAAGAAAUUAUCUUUUAUCGUGAUAUGUCCCCUCCUUGCUCAGAUUUCCACAUUCUGUUCUCUCUCCCUCAACUCCGAUCCUCUCUUCCCUAUGGCUUCGUCGGAGCGGCGCGACGGCCGGUCGACUAACCACUAACAAAUUAAAAAAAAUCCAAAACAUAAACUCUCCUUUAAUUUACUCCUAAACACGAAACCACAUCUAUCUCCUUCUAAAUCCCCACCGAUUAUUCAGAUCGAAAUAUUAACCUCAACUUUGUCAUACCUAGUUUCGAGUUAAUCAAAACAAAUCAAAUCAUCUGAAUCCAACAUGCAUCACACAAAGAGAUUUAUAUGGAAAACGAAAGUCAAGGCUUGAUUUGCAUAUAUACAAGGCAAAGAGUGAUUUUUAGUAACAACCUAUCAUGCUCAAGUGCUUGUUCUAACGCUUUAAAAUCAGAGAGAAGAAAAUAUUGGUCGGAAGCUUACCGAGAUAGUCGGAUCUCAGGUUACAACUUGAAGUGACUUUGAUGGGAUGGGAGGUGGUUGCGUGAAGCUUCAAGGAAGCAAGUUUGAGUCGUACCAGUUCCAAGGAAGGUUCAACGGUCUCUGGCUUUGGUCUCUUGGGGCAAUGGUUCUUAUCAAUUGAAAUUGCAACAGCUUUUUAUUAAAUUAGGGUGUAAUCAAUUAAGUAUUUAGGUUAAAUGUAUAUUUGGACUAUUUGUAACCUAUUGGAUUUAAAAUCUGUUUAUGUAAUUACUUUUUUAAGCAUUCAAACCGUA